rnacentral:rRNA from 1 species
GAUGAACGCUAGCUACAGGCUUAACACAUGCAAGUCGAGGGGCAGCAUGAAGUCAGCUUGCUGACUUUGAUGGCGACCGGCGCACGGGUGAGUAACGCGUAUCCAACCUUCCCCUUACUCAGGAAUAGCCCGUUGAAAGACGGAUUAAUGCCUGAUGUUCUCAUGUUGCCGCAUGGCGAUGUGAGCAAAGAUUCAUCGGUAAGGGAUGGGGAUGCGUAUGAUUAGCUUGUUGGCGGGGUAACGGCCCACCAAGGCGACGAUCAUUAGGGGUUCUGAGGAGGAACGGUCCCCACACUGGAACUGAGACACGGUCCAGACUCCUACGGGAGGCAGCAGUGAGGAAUAUUGGUCAA